ensembl:miRNA microRNA 1287
UUUUGCUGUCCCAGGUGCUGGAUCAGUGGUUUGAGUCCGAGCCCCUAAAAGCCACUCUGGCCACAGAUGCUGUGAUCGGAGCCAUGACAAGUCCCCACACUCCGG